GCCCCUGUAGUUCAGUGGAUAGAACCGCACCCCCCUAAGGUGAAAACACGUGUUCGACUCACGUCAGGGGUA
rnacentral:tRNA from 1 species